rnacentral:misc_RNA from 1 species
GAAAUGCGAUAAGUAAUGUGAAUUGCAGAAUUCAGUGAAUCAUCGAAUCUUUGAACGCACCUUGCGCUCCUUGGUAUUCCGAGGAGCAUGCCUGUUUGAGUGUCAUUAAAUUCUCAACCCUUUCAGCUUUUGCGAGCUGAAUUGGCUUGGAUGUGGGGGUUUUUGCGGGCUUCUCAAGAAGUCGGCUCCUCUUAAAUGCAUUAGCGGAACCUUUGUGGACCAGCUUUGGUGUGAUAAUUAUCUACGCCAUGGUUGUGAAGCAGCUUUUAACAUGGGGUUCAGCUUUCUAACCGUCCAUUAACUUGGACAAUUUAUGACAUUUUGACCUCAAAUCAGGUAGGACUACCCGCUGAACUUAA